CACAGACAUGACAUUACACGUCGUUCCUUACUUUCAUAAGUUACUUCAAACAAAUUUCAAAACAAAUUAAAAAGUUAAACAACUGAGAUCGGAUAAUUAGUUAACUGUUUUAAAAUAAUUUCAGUUGAAGUUUUCAUGUACCUGCCUACCUGGCCAACUAGGUGCUCUUCAGUUCUUGACAAUAGAAAUAAAGUGGUUUAAUCCAAUAAUGCAAGUUCACAACCUAUGUUUUCUGAAGCGAAAUCAUUUUUAUUCCAAGAUAUUGAAAAUCUUCAAGAUAUUGCCAUAUUUAUGCCUUUGCCAUAUCCAAUCAUUUGCUGCUAUCUAUUUUGCGGACAACAGCAAGGAAUUGCGGCCACUCAAGAUUUUGAUUUUCUGGUGAUCACCAAGCACUUAGUUCUAAUUUAGGACAACAAGAUUGAUCGAUUCAAGGCAUUGCUAUCUGUC